rnacentral:rRNA from 1 species
AAUCAACGCUGGCGGCGUGCCUCAGACAUGCAAGUCGAACGCGAAAGUUCCCUUCGGGGAGCAAGUAGAGUGGCGCACGGGUGAGUAACACGUAGGUAAUCUACCUUUGGAUGGGGAAUAACAACCGGAAACGGUUGCUAAUACCGCAUAAUGCAGCGGCACCUAAUGGUGACAGUUGUUAAAGCGGGGGAUCGAAAGACCUCGCGUCUGAAGAGGAGCCUGCGGCGGAUUAGCUAGUUGGUAAGGUAACGGCUUACCAAGGCGAUGAUCCGUAGCCGGCCUGAGAGGGCGGUCGGCCACACUGACACUGACAUACGGGUCAGACUCCUACGGGAGGCAGCAGUCGGGAAUUUUGGGCAAUGGGCGAAAGCCUGACCCAGCAACGCCGCGUGAAGGAUGAAAAUCCCUCGGGAAUGUAAACUUCGCAAGAACGGGAAGAAUAAGUAAGGGUUAAUAUCCUUACGAUGACGGUACUGUUUGUAAGCUCGGCUAACUCCGUGCCAGC